AACGAACGCUGGCGGCAUGCCUAACACAUGCAAGUCGAACGAAGGCUUCGGCCUUAGUGGCGCACGGGUGCGUAACGCGUGGGAAUCUGCCCUUUGCUUCGGAAUAACAGUUAGAAAUGACUGCUAAUACCGGAUGAUGUCGCAAGACCAAAGAUUUAUCGUCAAAGGAUGAGCCCGCGUGGGAUUAGCUAGUUGGUGGGGUAAAGGCCUACGAAGGCGACGAUCCUUAGCUGGUCUGAGAGGAUGAUCAGCCACACUGGAACGGAGACACGGCCCAGACUCGUCGGGAAGGCAGCAGUGGGGAAGAUUGGAGAAUGGGCGCAAGCCUGAUCAAGCAAGACCGCGUGGGUGAAGAAGGCCUUCGGGUUGUAAAGUCCUUUUGUUGGGAAAGAAAAGCAGCUGGUUAAUACCCCGCUGUUCUGACGGGACCAAAAGAAUAAGCACCGGCUAACUUCGUG
rnacentral:rRNA from 1 species